GGCUACAUUCAACUCAUUUGCAUUGGAAAUUGAUAUUUGUUGAGAUUUGAUCUGCAUAAAACUUUAGCAACAUUCAAAUGAAGUGCCACUUAUAAGUAAACACUCAAAUGGAUACUACUAUUAUCACACAUUCAAAAUCCAACUGCAAGCUCGACAGAGCUUAAGUAGCCUAAAAUAUAAAAGAGAGUUGGGAGUUCCGAAAUUGAGGCCACUUCAACUCAAUUGCAUGUUAAAAGUCUAAAAUUUAGAUUCAUACAACGUAAACACAUGUCAACAUAACAAAGCUUCCAAUAGAUUUGUACUGCUUCCACAGCAUAAUACCAAGUUCCCUCGCAACCAGAAUGGUUCACUGAUUGCCUAGUGCAAGGUCAUGCCAAGUGUCUCCAUUAACUUGUUGAGUCUCUUGAUUUGAAUCUUCAGCAUCAUCAGUCCGAACAACCAGCACUGGCGGUAGAGGGAGAUCGUCAUCAGGUAAAGUGUCUCUCAUCCACUCCUCGUCCACGAUAUCAAUAAGAACACCCAGACUUAAUUCUGCCAUAUUUGCUCAGCACUUCAAUUAAUUACCUUUCAACAAUACACAAACAACACACAGAAGUUUAAGUAAUUAGUAAUAAUGUAAAAACUAGCGAUUCUAAUAUUCAGAUAAAAGAGUACAAUAAAUGUGACCCAACACAGCGAAAGACCCAAAUCAAGAGAAACGAAAAAUGAAGUAGUGAAGGAGAAGAAAAACUCCGCAAACUAGUAAAGUGUUGUUGGGGAAUUCUAUCGAACAAGUUGAACGUGUAAGUUGGGUAACACAAAAUCAUUUUUCCAAACAGCAGGAAACUUCUACCUUAUUCUCAAAGGAAAAGAUAAACAAAUAAAGGUAAAUAUUUUGACAAAUUGUACGAAUCUAAUGGCAGAAGAAGAAGAAAGAAGCAAAAAUACCCGGAUGGUUACUUGAAUUGAUCAGUUGGUGACCAGCAGGGACAAGGGCAGCUGCAGGCAAAUCAAAGACCCUGGAGCGUAAAAAUGGGGAUCAAUU
rnacentral:misc_RNA from 1 species